AUCCCUUUUCACUGACUUUUUAUCUUUCUCACCAUCUUACACAUACUCUCUUCUCAAAUCGAAAUCUGCACUUCUCUUUGGAUCAAGUCUUUUUUUUCCUUCCUUUGCUGUUUCUCAUCAAGUCUUUUUUUAUUUUUUAUUUUUCCUUUGUUGUCUCUCCUUCAUCCUUACACAUUUCUAGCACCAACUGAGAAAAUCUAGAGAGAGAAUAGAAGGGUAGCAAAUUUUGGCCUUCAGAUCUUCUUCUUUCCUAGUCCAUUUCUGUUGAAGAAAUUAACAGAUCUGACAACGUUUGGUCCAUCCGGGAACUCUUCUUACCAGAUCUAUAACAACCUUAAAACAGGAAAUGUUACAGUAAUGGAAAUCUGGAGAGAUGGAGAAGGAGAAGAAGGAUAGUGGUAAAGAUUUCUAGCCUAGUUUGAAUUGAGUAGGUGACAAGCGUGAGUGGAGAGCUGGAGCAGAUUUGAAGAGCAAACAUGUAUGUUUAUUUCAAGUGUUGUGAAUAUGG